rnacentral:sRNA from 21 species
GUCAGCACCCCGCACUAAAGUGACGGGGCUUCACGCCUCGAUAUUUUAGUUAGUUGACCAGCUUAAGUACUUUGUGUACUACGUUUAGAGAAGAGUUGUGCGAUUCGUUCACUCGAAAUGAGUACUUAUACU